UAGGGAAUCUUCCGCAAUGGGCGAAAGCCUGACGGAGCAACGCCGCGUGAGUGAUGAAGGUCUUCGGAUCGUAAAACUCUGUUAUUAGGGAAGAACAAAUGUGUAAGUAACUAUGCACGUCUUGACGGUACCUAAUCAGAAAGCCACGGCUAACUACGUGCCAGCAGCCGCGGUAAUACGUAGGUGGCAAGUGUUAUCCGGAAUUAUUGGGCGUAAAGCGCGCGUAGGCGGUUUUUUAAGUCUGAUGUGAAAGCCCACGGCUCAACCGUGGAGGGUCAUUGGAAACUGGAAAACUUGAGUGCAGAAGAGGAAAGUGGAAUUCCAUGUGUAGCGGUGAAAUGCGCAGAGAUAUGGAGGAACACCAGUGGCGAAGGCGACUUUCUGGUCUGUAACUGACGCUGAUGUGCGAAAGCGUGGGGAUCAAACAGG
rnacentral:rRNA from 1 species